rnacentral:rRNA from 1 species
CGAACGCUGGCGGCAGGCCUAACACAUGCAAGUCGAGCGAGACCUUCGGGUCUAGCGGCGGACGGGUGAGUAACGCGUGGGAACGUGCCCUUUGCUUCGGAAUAGCCCCGGGAAACUGGGAGUAAUACCGAAUGUGCCCUUCGGGGGAAAGAUUUAUCGGCAAAGGAUCGGCCCGCGUUGGAUUAGGUAGUUGGUGGGGUAAUGGCCUACCAAGCCGACGAUCCAUAGCUGGUUUGAGAGGAUGAUCAGCCACACUGGGACUGAGACACGGCCCAGACUCCUACGGGAGGCAGCAGUGGGGAAUCUUAGACAAUGGGCGCAAGCCUGAUCCAGCCAUGCCGCGUGAGUGAUGAAGGGCCUUAGGGUUGUAAAAGCUCUUCAAGCUGGGAAAGA